GCCCCAGGGAGCAGCAGGAGGGGAAGGAAGGUCUCUCCCGGGGGGUGGAGGUGCCAGGCACAGCCAGGGGAUGCCAGGACAGCACCAGAAUCUUUUCCUCUGUUAUGUGAGAUCUUCAGCCCAUUCAUCAAUUUCCUGGCACAUCAAACUGCAGUUGGCUGGACAGCAGCAAGAGCAGAGUGCUGUGAAAACUUCUCCAAAAUCCUUCUCUGUCUUGAGGCUUGGCCCAUGCUUUCGUACUCCAGACCUCUCUGUCCCUUUGAAAGGAAUCCUACAGGCAUCCUAGAGCAGGAAGGGUUUGUGGAGUGAGUUUGUGAGCAUAAAUAGCUCUCAAGCAGAGCAGCACCUGCCACCCUUGAUCCGUCUGGCGCGUCCCACAAAUCACUGGUGCAGCAGGGCUCGAUCACAGCUAUUGUUUGUGCUAAGCUUCCUCCUACUCCUGUAAUCCUGCCGUUUAAAUGGAUGGGAUAUUCUGCAUUCAGGAGAGGGUGUGGGGACAGGAACUGCAGCUGAGUAUUUGGUGGGCAUGGCACGGUGCACGUGUGGAGCUCUGCCAAGGGCACAGGAGUGCAAAUGCUGACAAGCAGCACACUGCAAACGAAAGAUGUGGCUCUUGCCAAAGUGCCCCGUGUCACACUGCCUCUCACUGCUUCUUCAGGGAGCUGCUGAUGCUUUCUGGGCUGGGGGAAAGCUGGACUGACAGGAUCUGUGGGGUCUGGUGAGCUGGGCUGCUGGGCUCUUGCCACUCUCCCUGGGGUGGUCUGAGGGGCCUGCCCUUGUCCCGUGCCCAGGUGUGCCUGCCCGAGGGAUGCUGGCACACCUGUCCCAGCUCCCAUCUCCAUCUCUGAGGGGCCAGCUCAGUCAGAGUGCGUGCCUCCAGGACUGGAGGAGCCCAGCUGAUGCUCCAGGGUGUGCAAAGACUCGGGUGUAGUUGCCAUGGUAUAUUCAGGUGGUUUGGCCUCUUCUGAGGAGCACGGACAGCAUUGAGCACGUUUUCUGGGCAUGGCACAGCUCCUGUGGCUGUGUUUUCCUGCAGACACAGCCAAGGCAGUUUUUAUGACCUGCUGCAGGAGGGGACACGUGGGGCUCACCCCCUGGUUCAUGUCCGUGGUCAGCUGCAGGCAGCGUGGCUCAGUUUUCCCCUGAAAGGGCACAGCACAGGGCUGCUCAGAGAUGCUCACACUGCCAGGGUUUCC